rnacentral:rRNA from 1 species
GACGAACGCUGGCGGCGUGCCUAACACAUGCAAGUCGAACGGGAGGGUCCGGCCUUGGGGCGCACCGGUACGUGACGAGGGGGGACCAACCCGUAGGUUCGCUGUCCCUCCCCGUAGGGGAUCCUCAUGCAAGUGAGUGUAUUAGGGCCAAGGAGUUAUCGCGGUUGGGUGGGCGCGCGUUGGAUUCGCUGGUUGGUAGGGGAAAAGCCUGCCAAGGCGACGAUGCUUGGCUGGUCUGUGAGCAUGACCAGCAACACUUGGAGUGCGACGCGGCCCAGAAUCCUACGGGAGGGAGCAGUGGGGAAUAUUGGACAAUGGGCGAAAGCGUGAUCCAGCAAUGCCGCGUGAGUGAUGAAGGCCUUAGGGUUGUAAAGCUCCUUUACCCGGGAUGAUAAUGACAGUACCGGGAGAAUAAGCUCCGGCUAACUCCGUG